CGCGCCCCAGGCGCACCCAGAAACCCUUUGUGAACUUAUACCUUUUGUUGCCUCGGCGCAUGCUGGCCUCUAGUAGGCCCCUCACCCCGGUGAGGAGAAGGCACGCCGGCGGCCAAGUUAACUCUUGUUUUUACACUGAAACUCUGAGAAAAAACACAAAUGAAUCAAAACUUUCAACAACGGAUCUCUUGGUUCUGGCAUCGAUGAAGAACGCAGCGAAAUGCGAUAAGUAAUGUGAAUUGCAGAAUUCAGUGAAUCAUCGAAUCUUUGAACGCACAUUGCGCCCUCUGGUAUUCCGGAGGGCAUGCCUGUUCGAGCGUCAUUUCAACCCUCAAGCAUUGCUUGGUGUUGGGGCACUGCUUCUAACGAAGCAGGCCCUGAAAUCUAGUGGCGAGCUCGCCAGGACCCCGAGCGUAGUAGUUAAACCCUCGCUCUGGAAGGGCCUGGCGGUGCCCUGCCGUUAAACCCCCAACUUUUGAAAAUUUGACCUCGGAUCAGGUAGGAAUACCCGC
rnacentral:rRNA from 1 species